AGCAAAAUGAUGAAGUUUUAUUGAUCUGAACUCCAAUGUGGAAUCAUGUUAAUGGUCUUCAAAGUUCUCUGAUUGCU